UGGGAUGUGUAAGUGGUUGUGGUGGCAGUCCUGGCACUGGGAACCCACAGCCCAUUAGAGUAAUUGGCAGGGGGUUCCCUGUGCCAGGACUGCCACCACAACAACUUACAC